rfam:Triticum aestivum genome assembly, contig: Triticum_aestivum_CS42_TGACv1_scaffold_322575_4BL
UUUCUACUCCCUCCGUCCGAAAAUACUUGUCAUCAAAAUGGAUAAAAAUAGAUGUAUCUAAAACUAAAAUACGUCUAGAUACAUUUCCUUUUAUCCAUUUUGAUGACAAGUAUUUCUGGAUGGAGGGAGUAUUUG